GUUUGUGAACCUAGCUAGCUUUCGUACUGGAAAGAAGUAAAGUAGUCCGUAUUCAGUGCCCUAAACGUUUGUGACUUGGAGAAUGUUAGUCUGUUUACAAAAAUGGAAAACCAUUGAAAAAUGCAACCUAAAGAUUAUUGAAACCCCAGGUGUUGCAGGAGAAGCAGUGCAGGCAGCGCGGCCCUUGGAGCCGCACGGAGGGAGGCAUCCGGACGUCUUGAAUCUGAUGGGGAGGCGAGUCCACGCGCGGGCGGCGGCGGCGGCGGCGGCGGCGGC